GUCUAUGGCCCUACCACCCUGAACGCGCCCGAUCUCGUCUGAUCUCGGAAGCUAAGCAGGGUCGGGCCUGGUUAGUACUUGGGUGGGAGAAUCGCUUUAGUAAGUCUUUAUUCACCACCUGUC
rnacentral:rRNA from 1 species